rnacentral:lncRNA from 1 species
UCAUUUUAUAAGAUUGACCAAAGGAAUACGAGAUCAUUUGCAUAUGUGGCAAUAUUUUUAUAAAGAAUUUAAUGGCUAUACAUAUAUCCAAGAUUUAGAUUGGGUUUCAAAUGCUGAUUUACAUUUGUAUACUGACAGUGCAGGUGGUCAUUCACUGGUUUGUGCAGCUUAUUUAAAUGGGCCAUGGGCAAUUUUACAAUGGCCAUAAUUGGGGCAAAGUUUUAUUAAGUGACAUUACUUAUUUGGAAAUUAUACCUAUUGCUUUGGCCAUCUAUUUAUGGAAAGAAAGGUUUACGAAUAAGAAGAUAAUUUUUCAUUGUGAUAAUAUGGCUGUUGUUACAAUUUUAAAUUCAAAAUCUUCAAAAAAAAAAAAAAAAAGACAGGGUUAUGUUUUUGUUAAGAAAAAUAGUUUUGUGGACAUUGUUAUUUAAUUUUCAAUUUAAAGCGUUGCAUAUUUUUUCAAAAUACAAUUUUAUUGCUGAUGCUUUAUCUCGUGGACAGAUGAAGAAGUUCAGAGAAGUAACGAGCAAUGCCGACCGGACGCCACAGACUAUUCCACACGAAUUCCUAGAUCUUUUGUUAUAGAAGCUUCAAAAUUGUUGAAUUAUUCAAUUUCUCAAAGUACCAGAAAUGUUUAUGAAAAUGCAUUGCAUUCGUUCAAUAUGUUCAGGAUGGAAUAUUCUAUUCCCCUUAGUUGGCCACCAAGUAACAGACAA